CAGCUGGAAUGCUAAAAAACUUUUCACGUUUAAGGAGGAGGCGCCAUUUAAUUUCAAAGUCAAACCAAACAGACAGUAGGCUACUGUAUCCUGGUUUAAUAGUAAGUAGAAUGUCGUAUUUAUCAUUUUUAGAACAGUUUCAGUUUUUAUUCCAUUGUGAAGAAAAUGAAAAAUGCAGCUAUCUUCAUAUUUAUUAACACUGGAACUGCCAAACGCUUUUUUUUCCAAUAGUAAAACCGUCAUGGAGUCGCGGGGCAGAGAACUACUUCCGUAUUCAUUAGUUAAACGCCAACACAUUUAUUUCAGCUGGGCUCAUAAAAGAAUACACAGUAAAGUAGAAACCUAUUUUUAUGGUGACAUGUUACAUAGCUUUUGUGUGUCUGCACGUGUGCAUUUUUAAAUUUUGCACUGCAUCAUUUUACCAGGAAAGAGAACGAGCAGCUUUCCCAAGUUGAUUUUCGGCACGGAUAAAACCAUUUAAUUAUUUAAUUGUAAAAAGCAAAAUUACAGUUUUUGAUCUUCUGGAAGCAUGUAAUAUUAAGUCAAAGCAAUGUGUUUCUGUAAAGUGAAUCGUUCAUAAAAUGACAGCAUUACUUUAAUAUUUCAUGAAUUAUAUCGGCAAAUGUUAGGCAGCAUGAUGUUCCAGGUAUCGUGCUCUAUACAUCACCAGCUCGUAAUAAUUUUUGUGGCUGGCGUGCACUGGAUUCAAUGUUACUUUGCUACUUGUGUUUUCAGCUCUGCCUUUACACGUUAUUAGUGUCUCGCAGCUCCCGUCUCGUUUUGUAUUUGUAUUCAGUGCGGGGAAGUCGCUAUCUUUAGGGCAAAUAACUUACUUGCCAAGCUAAGUCAGUGCUUGAAGUUGAACAAUUUAGUGGCAUUGCACUCCAAACGAAAUCAGAGGUGAAUUUUCUGCCUGACUGUCCACAUGGGAAAAGUUUUAAAAGUCUUGAAACAGAAAGAAGUACAUUGGAGUUUGAAAUGAAGAAAAGAGUGUUGAACUGGAAGCAAGUCGAUGCCCUUAUGGGCAGUACAUUUUCUUUGAGGAGAAAGGAAGUGAUUGAGGAGGAGCCCUUGGUGAAAAACGUGAUGAUCAGGUGGCCUGUUUUGUUUACGGAAAGACAGGUUAGUUUCCUCUUUGUGAAACUUGGUUUUGUCAACAGUUUACUGCACUGCAAUAUAAAUGAUUAUGAUUGUUAAACUACCUGCCAAUCUCAAAGCAAACUGCUUUGAUCUUUUUCUGUAUCUUCUCAGCACAAGACUAAUAUAUGUUCAUAUUGUAUGUUUGCUGUUUGAUCAGAUUGCAGCAGAAUUUCAACGAAUAGUAUCUGCAGACCUUAAGAAAACCUUUUUUUGAUUGUCCUUGACAAAUAUCUGUCAGGAUUGUUGAGGCUGUAUUGUGCAAGAGACUUGGGAAUUGAUGAACUCAGAAGCCUUGUCCAGUCUGUUGAUAAAUGGGUACCACUCAAAUUAAUUGUGAUCACUAGAUGAUCAGAAUGUUCAGAUUGGUGUCUUUCUUGCAGAACUCAAACCAGCGUAAGAGAGCCAUUGUCCUCCUUGGCCUUCCUUAUUUCCUCAAAGAGAAGUCUGCCAAGCUUGUCAAGAGCUGUGAGCCUACACCUGAUGAAGAUAUUAUCAGAGGAAUGAAUAUUGGACUCUUCUUGAUAACAGAAGAGAAUCCUGCAAGCCUUCUCCCUCAGCAGAUUAUUGAUGUGGCAGUGGUUUUGGUGGAGCAGAUUGUACUUCAUGACUUGAAGGAUGUCCCAAAUGCCUUUGUUCUUCUCAUGGGUCUUCUCUAUGCCUUAAACAUUAGUUACCCUAAGAAGUUGAAAAGUACAUUAGAGGUCAUCCAAAAAAUUUUAAUGAACAUUGGUGGGGAUACAUGCUCUGCAAAAGGUCAUGGACUUCGGAACAGACUAUUGCAGAAAACUCUUUAAUAAUACUGUAUAUGUAAUUGAUGAAGAGAAAAGAAGUCCUAAUGUUUGCUUCCAGUGUUUUUGUCAAUAGUUCUGCUUUUCUUUUUCUCAUGCCUUAUUGCAACUAAAAAAUGACUUAAAGUUAAAUGCUUCUUUUUUCCAACUGAUGUUUGUUACUGUUAAAGUAUCUUUUAUAACCUUUGAGUCACACACAACCAGUUGUUCUUUAUUUCACUGGUGUGACGCUGUCCAAUGUCAGAGUUAAGAUUCUAAUGUGAAAGAGAUUUUUCAAAUUUGAUUUAACAAUUCUGUGCAUUUAAUGUCCCCACACAUAUACAUGCACAUUUGUGUCAUGUUCAGAGAGUUAACAUACUUUCACACAGCAUUACUGUUAAGAAAAAAAAAAAUACCUCUUAAUUUUUAAAUUUUCUGAUGCACCAUAUUUCUUUUUAAACACACAGACAGAAAAAGGAGAAUCAUUGCAUUGAUAAUUCUGAAUUAUGGAGGAUUAAAUAUUUGAAAUAAAUGUGUUUUUCUGUUCUUUACAACAUGUUGUUGGCUCACUUGACUGCUGUCCAGUUCAUUUUAUCGUAGAAUAGCUUUAAUGCAUAGAACUGCAAAUUCUUGUCAUGGUAACUUAAGUAAAGAGUUGAAAGAACUUGUCAUUUUAA